UGACAAUGAAACAAAGAAGCUUCCGAACCCAUGCCGUCGAGAAAAGCCGCUAUUGUGUUGUAUGAGCCCGUACCGUAAACCGACACAGGUGGAUGAGGAGAGAAUCCUAAGGCCGACGGGAGAAGCAUUGUUAAGGAACUCG
rnacentral:rRNA from 1 species